AGAAGACUUCAAACUAAUUAAGAAAAGUAUUUCAUAUUUUUUUAAGGUAUCAAAAAUAAUAGACGUUUGUAUGCCAUGUAAUGCCAGUAUAUAGAUUUAGAAAAGAACCAAAACAUCACAUGGAAUAAUACUGUUACCUCUCAGUGGUAUGCUCCUGGUAUGCCCCUUGCUGGUAUACCCCUUGCUGGCAGAAUCAACAGGACAGAGGUUUACAGCCUGACUUUGAUUUGUAUUGAAAACAUGGGAUAUCUACUUAUCCCACUGUCAAAUUGAUUCUUCAAAUAUAGGAGCUAUUUAACUUUGCUGAAAUGUGAUAGGAGGGGAAACUGGUACUUGCCAGCAGUGCUCUCCAGCUUCCUUCCCCAGAACAUCUGAGACAACAGGAAAAGGCAACAAGGAGAUUUGAGGAAAAUACUUAAAGGAAUGAAGGAGUUAUCCUCCAGGGAGGCGCCAAGGCUGGCUGCCCAGGUGAAGUGCCUCUACACCAACACACACAGCUUGGGAAACAAACAGGAGGAGUUGGAAGGCACUGUGCUGCUAGAAAACCGUGACGUGGUUGCAGUCACUGAAGCCUAGUGGGAUUGUUCCCAAGACAGGAGUGUAGCUGUCAACACUUAGAAGUUGUUCAGAAGGAACUGGCAUGGAAGGAGGGGAGGAAGCAUUGCCCUCUACAUCAGGGAAGGAAUAGUGUGGAGAGUUGUCCCAGAAGAAUGGCCACAAGCAAGUCGAAAGUCUAUGCUUAAGUUAGAGACUGAGGCAACAAAGGAAAUCUAGUUGGAGUCUGCUACAGGCUGCCUGAUCAUGCAGAGCCUGUUGAUGAUGCCUUCUUUUUCUAAAUACAAGAGACAUCACAAUUGUAGGCUCUUAUCCUGCUGGGGGGCUUCAACUAUCCUGACAUCUGCUGGAAAAGUAGCAUGGCGAGCUGUUGGCAGUCCACCUGGAUCGUGGCAGUCCCCACUAUCGAGAAGCCGGGGGAUGAAAGGAUAGAGCACAGCCCUUCUGAAAUGGACUUGGGGUACUGGUGGAAUGGUAAGCUGGACUUGAGACAGCAAUGUGCCCUCGUGACCCAGAAAGCCAGUUGGAUCCUGAGCUGCAACAAAAGAAGCAUGGUCAGCCCAUCAAGGGAGGUGAUCCUGCCCCUCUACUCUGUGGUGUUGAGACCUCACCUGGAGUACUGCAUCCAGAUGUGGAGUCCUCAGUGUAGAAGAGACAUAGACCUGUUAGACCACAUCCGGAGGAGGCCCACAAAAAUGAUCAAAGUGCCUAUUUUUAUAAAGAUAACAAAACAAGUCUCUUACCUGUGAGAUAGAGGUCAGCUUCCAUUCCCUUCAGGACACUGCUCCCAGAACCAGCACACAGAGCAGCUUUCUUCACUGGAGAAUCUGCAGGAUACAAGCAACAGAAAGAACACAACAUUAGAGAGUGAAGCAGAUACCUGACAGGGAGAGUGGUGAGACAGAAGAUCUCUGGGAUGUCUUUGAUUUUGGACAGCACUGUCUCUAGAUGCUCCACAGUGUCUGCACAGAACUCCACCCGGUGAGUACCCUCAGUCGGAUGGCUUGGAGCAGUUGAUGGGUGCAGUGGAACAGAAGUACAGGCACCUGAGAAAACAGAGCAAGGACUGGUUUUAGAAAGCUGAAUGCUGUGGCUGAUACUGAUUUAUGCACCAAAAGAGG